ensembl:lncRNA
GUACCUCCUCCAAUGAGAUCCAUUUCAUUUGCAGAUUGCCUCAAUAAAGAUAGGGAAAGUUAAAAGUGCAAUAUCCACACGCAAUCUCCACCCACUCACUUCUCCCACAGUUAUAACCUGGGACACUGCAUUGCAUGGAUUUAUUGGACAGAAGAACCUCCAGAGGCUGUGAGCUUACAGAUAACUCACUGGCAAAAUGCUUCUGUUGUUUCUGUCUCUGGUUUUGGGAACUCCACAAGGACAAGGGGUUACAGUAACGUGUGACAAUAUAUCGGUUUCAAAAGACCAGCAACUGACACUGUGCUGUACAGUGGAUUACACUGCCAUACAAACUAUCAAACAUGGGACGAAGGGGACCACAAAUGACACAACAUGUGUUACUGAGUGGUUUGCAUGGAAGUAUUCAGAUAAUGUACUACUGAAUUGUAUUAAAGACUGUCACAUGAAAGAAACGGAAGCACCACACUGCUAUUAUAAGAAAGAAAAUGUUACAAAAGCUGAUGAGGGUAAUUACACUUUUUCCAUUGGCACAAACUGUGGGUUUGGUUCAGGGACAACAAGCUUUUUCACUGUUGCAGUUCCUGCGAAAAGUGUUGACAACUGGAGAGAGCAACAAGCUCCUGUAUGGUUAACUCUGGUUGUUAUCAUCAGCGUCAUCGCUGUUCUGGGCGUUCUAUUGUUUCUAAAAACUUAUCGUUCUGGCAGAAGAUUGAUGAAACGACUCAAGAGUUCUAUGACCCAGAGCAACAACAACACUGAUGAGAGCCCUGAAGGUUCAAGAGAGGCCGUUACCCUGGUGCCUGCAUAACAUUCAGCGUGAGCCAGUUGUCUUGUUGGUUAUUUCGAAAUGAACUCCACGUUGACCUCUGCUAUGUUGCUGUAUGUCAGAUGCAUUCUAUACCAAUAAAACACUACUCACUUUUGCACCUAAAUUAGUUUUGCACCAACAUUUGUGGAAUCAGUUAGUGAAAUCACUAAUAAUCGUCUUUCACAGAAAAAAAGGGUGCUAAAAAGGGUGCUAUCUAGAACCAUCCCCAUAGGAGAACCCUUUGAAUAACUCUGGUUCCAGGUAGAACCCUUUUCAUAACCCUUAAGCUUGUUUACAAAGGGAGUUGGUUUUGGUCUAUAUAUACAUUGAUGUUGUAAUAUUCUGUAAUAUUCUCACAAGCAUUGUUUUCAUAACUACUAAGCUAAACUUGUUUUUAGUUUUAGCCUAAACUCUGACGUAAUUUUCUGGGACUCAUGUUUUUUUAAAUUAAUAUAAAAUGUUAUUGAUUUGUGUACAAAUAAACGUUUGGAAAUAACCAGUCUUCAUAAUGUUAUUUCUCUCAUAUAGAGCUUGUUGUCUUGUGCCGAAUUAUUAUCUCCAACAAUAAUGUACAUUUCAGUUAUCACAGCACAUAGAGUACCCGUCAGCAGAAAAUAACCACAACACUUCCUGUGAACAAGUCAACAGAGGAAACUCUUUCUCUAUCCAUUUAUUCAGUUGUUCACCAUUUUACCCUGCCAAAAGACAGUUCACCAGUCAGUUGUGAGUGUUUUGCGCGUGCGGAAGAGUGUGUGGAGCUCUCUGAUAAAUGCAGCUGGUACCUAGUCGGCAGGAUGGAUGUUCUGUUGUGGAGAUGUGUGCUGGGACUCCUCUGCAGCCCUGCAGUGCUCACCUGGACAGUUUCCCAGAGCCCCAGUGCCGUAGCUCUGAUGAAGGUCAACUCCUCGGCCGAGAUCCUCUGCUCCACAUCGCUACCGGACCCCACAGGCCUCUACCUCAGGGGUCGAUUCCACAACAACAGAGAUGUGCUGUACUUGUCGAUAGCUGACAGAGCAGUCGGUAGGACCACAAUCCACAAUGGGUUCAGAGGUCGGGUCACAGUGGUGUCAGACCAGGACCAGGAGGUCAAGCGGUGCUGUGAGUUCACACUGAGGCUGUCCCAGCUUGGGGUGGAGGACACAGACAGUUACUACUGCAGCUGGAGGUACUACGAUACCAAAGGGAAAGUGCUGGUACAGCGGCACAGUAAUGGCACCAUCAUCAUUGUCAGAGAGAGAGAUCCAGAGAAGGGCUGUGGCGGCGGUCAGACCAACAUUGAACUCAUCUUGAUUGUGCUGAGUUGGACGGCCUUCAUCGUCAUCUUCUUCCUCUUCAUUGGAGCUCUGAUGUGGCGAUGCACACGGACCAAAAAGCACUACACACCAGCCAGGGACAAUAGAAGACACCACCAGCAUGUGUGUCCACAGCACAGGCCUACUGCUGACCCAUAGUUCAUCUACUCGAGCAGCUCUCCAGGCCAUGUCAACUUUAAAGGGAUACUGUAACAUUGAAGGGAAGGGAAGAAGUGAUUCUGCAAUUGCGGUAAUGAUUUACCUUUAGAGUGUCUACGCAGUUAGGCCUACUGUCUGUUCUCACUAAUGGAAUGUUCUUUACUUACUGUUUUUGGCUAGAUUUCAGAUAUAUUUUCAGACGUCUGUCUGAGCAAUCCAUUAUUUGCGUUUAUUUGCCAAGUUGGUAGUUGUGCAUUUCUGUUCAUUGCAUCUGACAGAAACAUCAGUGCAAUUAAAUAGUGUGCAAUUAUGUGCAUUUUGUAGGCUACUGUUCUCAUGAGCUCUUUCUCACCAAAUGUCUGUUUUUCUCUUCUUUUGUGUCUCCACUUCCGAUUGUUAUGGGAAUUGUCUAUGUUAACAGAAAGACUCUUUCUAUGUGACUCAGUGAUACUAACAUCAACGUACCAUACCACAUCCUGCAGUUUGAUGUCUGACAUGCUUUCAGAUCAUAUAUCGGCUGCCUAAUGUGUGAACGGGUCAAUUGUUUUGUUUUUUGCACAUCCUGUAGAUUUAAGUGUUUCGACAAUGUUGUGCUAAUCUGUUAGAUUAUCCUGCUCUUCAUCUGACAUGUCCUAAUGUGACCAAGCUGAAUAUACAUUCCACGCAAGUGAGAGAUAUAAAAUAGGCAUGUGUCAGUCAAGUCAACACAUACCCAUUUAAAGAGAUAUUGCUGCAUUACUUUGUAUUUAUGGAUUCCCUGGUCUCACUGACAGACAGCGGCGAGCUCCAGCUGUUUAGUUGAUUUAUGUAUAUAUUUUUGGGGGGUUACGUGUUAUUUUGGCAUUAAUAUGUGUCACAAAUCAGUUUGCAAACAAUGUGAAAAAAAUAAAGCUGCAUACAGACAUGGUCUCUUUUUGCUUUCUUGAGGCAGCUUCAAAAUGUGGGUAUUUCAGCCUAGCUUAGUGAUUUCUGUGGUGGUGGAGCAGCCAGUGGAAAAUACGGAGCAUCGAGGUUGGUAAUGUUCUUUAGUUGCACCGUGAUUGGCUCAGUGUUCUGUCACUCAUGGGGACACUACAUCACUGCAAAAUCUACAGGGAGAGCUCGAAAAUUCAAGCCCUUGGGUGCUGCCAUAGAUUUACAUUAGAAGUGCGCAACCAAGCAGGCUCAAGGUCAUUGGCACAGAUAGAAUGAUGUCAAAUCACAUUAUAUCUACCAUAGCUUUGAUUGUCGUCAAUCUACUGGCAAAUCCUUUUCGAUCCUUGUCAUAUGAAGAGAAAUUAAAGAUAAAAUGUAUCGGUG